rnacentral:rRNA from 1 species
UACGUAGGGUCCGAGCGUUGUCCGGAAUUAUUGGGCGUAAAGGGCGCGUAGGCGGUCGUGCAAGUGGAAGGUGAAAUCCCUCGGCUCAACCGAGGAACUGCCUUUCAAACUGCAUGACUUGAGUCCGGGAGAGGUGAGUGGAAUUCCCAGUGUAGCGGUGAAAUGCGUAGAUAUUGGGAGGAACACCAGUGGCGAAGGCGGCUCACUGGACCGGAACUGACGCUGAGGCGCGAAAGCGUGGGAGCAAACGGG